rnacentral:rRNA from 1 species
AUUGAACGCUGGCGGCAUGCUUUACACAUGCAAGUCGAACGGUAACAGGGUGCUUGCACCGCUGACGAGUGGCGAACGGGUGAGUAAUGCGUCGGAACGUGCCGAGUAGUGGGGGAUAACGCAGCGAAAGUUGUGCUAAUACCGCAUACGUACUGAGGUAGAAAGUGGGGGACCUUCGGGCCUCACGCUAUUCGAGCGGCCGACGUCUGAUUAGCUAGUAGGUGAGGUAAAGGCUCACCUAGGCGACGAUCAGUAGCGGGUCUGAGAGGAUGAUCCGCCACACUGGGACUGAGACACGGCCCAGACUCCGACGGGAGGCAGCAGUGGGGAAUUUUGGACAAUGGGCGAAAGCCUGAUCCAGCCAUGCCGCGUGUCUGAAGAAGGCCUUCGGGUUGUAAAGGACUUUUGUCAGGGAGGAAAUCCCUAGCGUUAAUACCGCUGGGGGAUGACAGUACCUGAAGAAUGAGCACCGGCUAACUACGUGCCAGCAGCCGCCGUAACAC